CCUACGGGUGGCAGCAGUAGGGAAUAUUGCUCAAUGGGGGAAACUCUGAAGCAGCAACGCCGCGUGGAGGAUGAAUGUUUUCGGAUUUUAAACUCCUUUUUUUAGAGAAGAUAAUGACUGUAUCUAACGAAUAAGCUCCGGCUAACUCCGUGCCAGCAGCCGCGGUAAUACGGAGGGUGCCAGCGUUACUCGGAAUCACUGGGCGUAAAGAGCGCGUAGGCGGGAUAGCAAGUCAGAUGUGAAAUCCUAUGGCUUAACCGUAGAACUGCAUUUGAAACUGUUAUUCUAGAGUACAGGAGAGGUAGGUGGAAUUCUUGGUGUAGGGGUAAAAUGCGUAGAGAUCAAGAGGAAUACUCAUUGCGAAGGCGGUCUGCUAGAACGUAACUGACGCUGAUGCGCGAAAGCGUGGGGAGCAAACAGGAUUAGAUACCCCAGUAGUC
rnacentral:rRNA from 1 species